GAUGAACGCUAGCGGCAGGCCUAACACAUGCAAGUCGAGGGGUAGGGCAGCAAUGCCUGAGACCGGCGCACGGGUGCGUAACGCGUAUGCAAUCUACCUUCAACAGGGGGAUAGCCCAGAGAAAUUUGGAUUAAUACCCCAUAGUAUUAUCGAAUGGCAUCAUUUGAUUAUUAAAGUUCCAACGGUUGAAGAUGAGCAUGCGUCCUAUUAGCUUGAUGGUAAGGUAACGGCUUACCAUGGCUACGAUAGGUAGGGGUCCUGAGAGGGAGAUCCCCCACACUGGUACUGAGACACGGACCAGACUCCUACGGGAGGCAGCAGUGAGGAAUAUUGGACAAUGGGCGCAAGCCUGAUCCAGCCAUGCCGCGUGCAGGAAGACGGUCCUAUGGAUUGUAAACUGCUUUUGUACGGGAAGAAACACUCCUACGUGUAGGAGCUUGACGGUACCGUAAGAAUAAGGAUCGGCUAACUCCGUGCCAGCAGCCGCCGCCGUAA
rnacentral:rRNA from 1 species